UGUAUGUAUAAUCAGAUUUAACAAGUUGGUUAAGAAAAGAAAAAAAAUUACAAAUAGAUUAUGGCCCGACCCAUCUGCUCGAUCUCGUCCGGAAUGGCCAUUGCUUCCAGGGUUUCGAAGUUUCUGGCCUCCUGCUGAGGCUUCUCGAGAAGGUUCGGCCCUGUCUAGGAAGUAGGAACUCGAAGACGGUCGCUUACUUGGAGAGCCCGAUUCCGAUCUGAGGAACGUCAUCGAUGAAAAUGUAAGAAACUUUUCUCAUCUAUCGCCUUCAAUUUCUGGGUGAGUGGAAAAUGGAGACAGAAAUUGGGGUUUUAUUCUUCGAUGGAAUUGACUUUCCAAGGGUUGCAUUGAUAGGAUCCUCAACCUCUCAGAAUUCUUGGGUCGAUUCGUCCGGAGGAUUUAGCAAAUAGUAUUACCUGACCGGACUCGGAGUUUUAAGGGUUUUGUUCGAAUGUAAUGUGCUGUGCCAAGCUAGUUCUGUUGAGGUAGGUUAUUAGUUGCUGAGAGCCAAAGAUUGAUUCUUUGACUCCAAUAUAAUGCCGUGGUUUGCAUACGAAUCUAGAAAAGGAAAUUGUUUUGAUGAUACAUGGUCCUGUGGCAACUCUUCGAUCUUCAAUAUGCGGUUUCCUGUUGUUGUUGUUGUUGUUUUUUUUUUGGUGAAACUGACUCAGGACAGGAGGGGGGACUCACUGCCACUGGGCAAAGAAACUCGGUUGUGACUUUUGCAAAGAUUGUUCGGCAUUUCCUCUUGGGAUAGAUGGGAAAGAGUUCUUUCAGAUUUCGAUUCCUAAGAUAUGAGAUCUCCCUCCGUCCAUACAUUGCCGGGAAAUUUUUAAGAGAGCAGAGCAGAGCCUUCCAGGGACGUCUCAGCCACAGCUUGCGAAGGAACAGCUGCCCGUCUGAGAUUCACUUCCCAGGCAACAUGCACCAACCAUGACCCAAUACCACUUGCAAGUAAAUCAUCGCGAGGCUCAAUGCGGCAUUUUGAAAGCAUGAUUUAGGCUUCUUGAGGAAUAGAAUGGUUAAAGGCAGGAAUCUUUCAAGACGACAAUGGGAGAUCGAAGUAAGAUAUGAGUGUCGCUUUAGCACAACAGAACACAUGAAGUAUACGUUUUGAAAGAAAGGGCCUUUUCUUUCAAGGGGUUUGAACGGAAAAAAAAAAGGGCUUUAAAUAAAGAGAGAAUCAGUCAGUACAUUUGUAGAAUGAAUUCCAAAGGAAGAUAGCGAUUCCUUUCAUGGGAAUUGUUGGAUUUUGUCAUGCAGAAAGCCUAUUCAAUAUAAGCACGAAUACAUAUGAUGA